rnacentral:rRNA from 12 species
GUGAACCUUUACUAUAGCUUCACAUUGACAUUGGGCAAUUUAUGUGUAGGAUAGGUGGGAGACUUUGAUACUGCGUCGCUAGGCGUAGGGUAGUCGUCCUUGAAAUACCACCCUUGAAUUGUUUGAUGUCUAACCCCUCCGGGGGGACAUUGUGUGGUGGGUAGUUUGACUGGGGUGGUCGCCUCCAAAAGAGUAACGGAGGCUCCUAAAGGUACCCUCAGCACGGUUGGUAAUCGUGCGUAGAGUGUAAUGGCAUAAGGGUGCUUGACUGAGAGACCUACAAGUCGACCAGGUAGGAAACUAGAGCAUAGUGAUCCGGUGGUUCCGCAUGGAAGGGCCAUCGCUCAAAGGAUAAAAGGUACUCCA